UACGUAGGGUGCAAGCGUUGUCCGGAAUUAUUGGGCGUAAAGAGCUCGUAGGCGGUUUGUCGCGUCGGAUGUGAAAACCCGGGGCUCAACCCCGGGCCUGCAUUCGAUACGGGCAGACUAGAGUUCGGUAGGGGAGUCUGGAAUUCCUGGUGUAGCGGUGAAAUGCGCAGAUAUCAGGAGGAACACCGGUGGCGAAGGCGGGACUCUGGGCCGAUACUGACGCUGAGGAGCGAAAGCGUGGGGAGCGAACAGG
rnacentral:rRNA from 1 species